UACAACGAUCAAACUUUCUCCGCAAGUUUUGUUUUCAUAUGAUAUUUUAUGCACACAAGCUUCAGAUAUAUUAGCAUAACCUUGUUUGAAUGUUGAAAACGUCAAACUUUUAAAAAAAAAUUAAUAAUAAAAAAUGAAUAGGCGGAUAAACUGACUGUAUAGUCUGUCGAAUCCGCUGCGUGGAAAGACUUCGGACGUUGUGCUUCGACUUGUCAACUCUUCUUUUGGUUACGUCUACGUUUCUUGGAAAAAGAAAAGAAAGAUGCAUGCACUUUUUGUGCGGAUUUCUACCUUUUUCUUUAUUUAUUGUGUGAAAAUAACAAGGCAAGAAGUUCUAGAAUUUGAUAACAUCUUACCGGACAACCCACUAGACUACGACAACCUCCAGCCACCA